AACGAACGCUGGCGGCAUGCCUAACACAUGCGAGUCGAACGAGACCUUCGGGUCUAGUGGCGCACGGGUGCGUAACGCGUGGGAACCUGCCCUUAGGUUCGGAAUAACUCCCCGAAAGGGGUGCUAAUACCGGAUAAUGUCUUCGGACCAAAGAUUUAUCGCCUUUGGAUGGGCCCGCGUUGGAUUAGCUAGUUGGUAGGGUAAAAGCCUACCAAGGCGACGAUCCAUAGCUGGUCUGAGAGGAUGAUCAGCCACACUGGGACUGAGACACGGCCCAGACUCCUACGGGAGGCAGCAGUGGGGAAUAUUGGACAAUGGGCGAAAGCCUGAUCCAGCAAUGCCGCGUGAGUGAUGAAGGCCCUAGGGUUGUAAAGCUCUUUUACCCGGGAUGAUAAUGACAGUACCGGGAGAAUAAGCGCCGGCUAACUCCGUG
rnacentral:rRNA from 1 species